AUGGGCACGAGCGACGGCGAGACGGAGGCGACGACGUCGCGAGAUCGGGACUGGUCCUCUCUCCCGACGGACCUGCUCAUCGAGAUACUGCGGCGGCUCCGCUGGUCCAGCCACCCCGGCUUCGCCCUGGCGUGCAGCCGCUGGCGCUCCGCCGUCUCGCCCUUCUACCCGGCGUCCGUCACGCCUCUCCUGCUCAACGCCGCCCGCGUCGGCUCCACCAACGCGCGCUUCUACAGCCCCUACUUCGACAAGAGCUUCGAGCUCGCCGCCACGCUGGGCGCGCCCGGUGCCAAGAUCUGCGGCGCCGCCGGACGGCGCCUCACGCUGGCCCUGCCGCACCUUGUCCGCAACGUCGACCUCGGGUCGGGCAUCGCCCACGACAUGCCGCCGGUCGAUCAAGUCGGGUUCGACUUCGUCGUCGGCGACGGCGGCGACGGCGCGGCGGGCAGGAUGGUCGGUGUCAGCGCGGUCAUGUUUCUGCGGGCCGCGCUCUCCUUCAGGAACGGCGAUGGCGGGUGGACGGACUGGGACUUCACCCCGUACGAGUUCGGACCGGCGUUCGUGCCGUCGCCGAGCUGUAACCCGGUCUUCCACGGCGGGUUGCUCUACCUGCUGGGACAGGACGGGAGGCUGGCGGUGUACGACCAGCGCAUGCACGACCAAGGGUUUGAGAUCCUGGAGAAGCCCCGGAGCUUCGGGUUCGAAUGCGAAGACAGCUACCUCGUCGAGUCCGGCCAAGACGAGCUCAUGGCCGUCCUGGUCGGCCUCCGUGGGCCGCCGGUCAACGUCGUCAAGCUCAACGAGCACACCAUGGAGUGGGAGAAGGUGGAGAGCCUGGAGGGGAGCGUCCUGUUCACCGGCACGCUCACGACGACGAUGAAGAAGACCGGCGCCAGGUGGAUGCAGGACAGGAUCUUCCUCCCCAGGCUCUUUGAUUGGCCCGAGGCCAUCCCUGCUGACCUUGUUCAACAUGACGGCGAACUCGCAUUUGUGCCCAAGCAGGAGUGCGCGUGGCCUGCUGUGAGGGAUGACACCUAUGUGACAAACAUGUGGAGUUACAAAUUGGGACAAAGCGGUGAAGAAGCAAGAGAAUUUUGGGAAACAGAAAAACUAGAUUAUGGUGUCUGGGUCGAUUUUGAUAGUACUUAG
rnacentral:rRNA from 1 species